rnacentral:rRNA from 1 species
GAUGAACGCUGGCGGCGUGCCUAAUACAUGCAAGUCGAGCGAACAGACGAGGAGCUUGCUCCUCUGACGUUAGCGGCGGACGGGUGAGUAACACGUGGAUAACCUACCUAUAAGACUGGGAUAACUUCGGGAAACCGGAGCUAAUACCGGAUAACAUGUUGAACCGCAUGGUUUAACAGUGAAAGACGGUCUUGCUGUCACUUAUAGAUGGAUCCGCGCCGCGUUAGCUAGUUGGUAAGGUAACGGCUUACCAAGGCAACGAUGCGUAGCCGACCUGAGAGGGUGAUCGGCCACACUGGAACUGAGACACGGUCCAGACUCCUACGGGAGGCAGCAGUAGGGAAUCUUCCGCAAUGGGCGAAAGCCUGACGGAGCAACGCCGCGUGAGUGAAGAAGGUCUUCGGAUCGUAAAACUCUGUUAUUAGGGAAGAACAAAUGUGUAAGUAACUAUGCACGUCUUGACGGUACCUAAUCAGAAAGCCACGGCUAACUACGUG